rnacentral:tRNA from 1 species
GCCUGGGUGGCUCAGUGGUUGAGUGCCUGCCUUCGGCUCAGGUCAUAAUCCCGAGUCCUGGGAUCGAGUCCCACAUCGGGCU